ACACGUAGGGGGCGAGCGUUGUCCGGAAUUACUGGGUGUAAAGGGUGCGUAGGCGGCUCUGCAAGUCAGGUGUGAAAACCAUCGGCUUAACUGAUGGACUGCAUUUGAAACUGUGGGGCUUGAGUAGAGUAGAGGCAGACGGAAUUCCCGGUGUAGCGGUGAAAUGCGUAGAGAUCGGGAAGAACACCAGUGGCGAAGGCGGUUUGCUGGGCUCUAACUGACGCUGAGGCACGAAAGCAUGGGUAGCAAACAGGAUUAGAUACCCUGGUAGUCCAUGCCGUAAACGAUGAUUACUAGGUGUGGGGAGUCUGACCCUCUCCGUGCCGGAGUUAACACAAUAAGUAAUCCACCUGGGAAGUACGACCGCAAGGUUGAA
rnacentral:rRNA from 1 species